rnacentral:tRNA from 1 species
GCCGCCGUAGCUCAGUGGUAGAGCACCUCUUUGGUAAAGAGGAGGUCGUGGGUCCGAUUCCCACCGGCGGCUCCA